UACAGAGGUCUCAAGCGUUUGUUCGGAUUCAUUGGGCGUAAAGGGUGCGUAGGUGGGCAGGUAAGUCAGUGGUGAAAUCUCCGGGCUUAACUCGGAAACUGCCAUUGAUACUAUCUGUCUUGAAUACCGUGGAGGUUAGCGGAAUAUGUCAUGUAGCGGUGAAAUGCUUAGAUAUGACAUAGAACACCAAUUGCGAAGGCAGCUGGCUACACGAAUAUUGACACUGAUGCACGAAAGCGUGGGGAUCAAACAGG
rnacentral:rRNA from 1 species